rnacentral:rRNA from 1 species
AGCGAACGCUGGCGGCAGGCCUAACACAUGCAAGUCGAACGAACCCUUCGGGGUUAGUGGCGGACGGGUGAGUAACACGUGGGAACGUGCCUUUAGGUUCGGAAUAACUCAGGGAAACUUGUGCUAAUACCGAAUGUGCCCUUCGGGGGAAAGAUUUAUCGCCUUUAGAGCGGCCCGCGUCUGGUUAGCUAGUUGGUGAGGGAAUGGCUCACCAAGGCUACGAUCAGUAGCUGGUCUGAGAGGAUGACCAGCCACAUUGGGACUGAGACACGGCCCAAACUCCUACGGGAGGCAGCAGUGGGGAAUCUUGCGCAAUGGGCGAAAGCCUGACGCAGCCAUGCCGCGUGGAUGAUGAAGGUCUUAGGAUUGUAAAAUCCUUUCACCGGUGAAGAUAAUGACUGUAGCCGGAGAAGAAGCCCCGGCUAACUUCGUGCCAGCCGCCGCCGUAAUAC